CCUGGUGGCUCAGAGGGUAAAGCAUCUGCCUGUAACGCAGGAGACCGGGGUUCGAUCCCUGAGUCAGGA
rnacentral:tRNA from 1 species